rnacentral:rRNA from 1 species
GGCGUAGGCCGGCAUGCCUUAACAAUGCAGUCGACGAUAAACACUUCUCUGUCUAUUAGUGACGAACGAAUGAGUAACAAAUGCGUCAUAUGCCCUGCACUCUUGGACAAUCCCUGAACACAGGCUCUAAUACCGGACACUGCACACGUUUGGAUGAUCCCAGCGGGUUCGAAAGCUCCUGCGGUGCAUGAAGAGCCCGAGGGCCUAUCAGCUUGUUGGUGAGGUAAUGGCUCACCAAGGCCGACGACGUGUAGCCGGCCUGAGAGGACGACCGGCCACACUGGGACUGAGACACGGCCCAGACUCCUACGGGAGGCAGCAGUGGGGAAUAUUGCACAAUGGGCGAAAGCCUGAUGCAGCGACUCCGCGUGAGGGAUGACGGCCUUCGGGUUGUAAACCUCUUUCUGCAGGGAAGAAGCGGAUGUGACGGUACCUGCAGGAACACGCGCCGGCUAUGUACGUGCCAGCAGCCGCGGUAUUACUGACGGCGCGAGCGUUGUCCGGAAUUAUGGGGCGUAUAGAGCUAGUAAGCGGCUUGUCACGUCGGUCGUGAAAUCCCGUGGCUUAGACGUGGGUCUGCAGUCGAUACGGUGAGGCUAGAGUUUGUGACGGCAUAUCUGAAUUCCUGGUGAAGCGGUGAAAUGUGCACAUGUAACGAUGAACUGCGGUGAUGUACGCAGAACUAUGGAUCGAUACUGACGCUCAGGAGCGAUGUCGUGACGCUCGAGCAGGAUUACAUGCCCUGGUAAUCCGAGCAGUUAACGGGGGGCUCUACGUGUGGGCGAUUUCCACGUCGUCUGGGCCGCACCUGACGCAUUAGUGCCCCGCCUGGGGAAUACGGCCGCACGGCUAAGUCUCGCAGGAAUGGACAGGCUCCCGCGAAUUCAGCGGAACCCGUGGUUUAAUUCGAAGCAACGCGUAAAAUCUUACCAAGGCUUGACAUAUUACGGACAUGUCAGGAGAUGGGCGCUCCCUUGAGAUCGCUGUACGCGUGAUGCAUGGCUGUCAUCAGCUCGUGUCAUGAAAUUUUGCGUUAGUCCCGCAACAAGUGGAAUCAUUUCCCGUGUUGCCGCAACCCUUCGGGGUUUUGGGGAAUCGGCGAUACGGCGGGUUCCCCUCGAAAAAAGGGGGGAAGAGGUAAGACAUCAAGCCCCUAGGGCUUGGGGGGGGGCCUGCUCCAAUGGCCCAGUAGAGACUACG